UCAGUUCCAACGUGUUCGUGGCCCAGACCGAGCAGAGAGGAAAUCGGCCGGGCCCGUCCCCUUCCUCCGCCGCCCCCGCCGCACUGCCCGGCGGAUGCUGCCGCUCCGGCGGACCAUAUCCCCACUUCUGAUGGAUCCCGGUCGUCCCUGCGCUCCUCUGGCAGGCCGCCGCUCUUACGUACCAGCACACCCUCCCCCCUGCAGCGGCCACCGCAUCUUGAUUCACAGGUACUCCAAUCAACUGCAGAUUUGUGGAUCCUCCUACCAAUCAACUACUCGUGCAAGGAUUCUGAGCGCUGGGCGGCGAGGCGACGAGCUUGAGCCUACUGAGCUCAGAGGAAUAAUCCAGAGGGGACGCACCAUUGGCACGCCAGACACUGGACCCUGGAGGAUCAUGGGGGGGCGGCGAGCUGAGAUGGUCAGCGGCAGGCCAACAAUGGCAGCAACUAUGAGGGGGACACAAUGUCUCGUGCACUAGUUUCGUGCAUUUUCAACCUGUCUAUCUCGACUACAAGUCGUCGUGUAAGUCAAGCUUUCUGAAAGUGGGAGAUUUGGAGGAAUAGACCGAAAGAGGGCAUGUACAUCAUCAUUCGCUGGCCCAUUCGUUUGAGGAUGAUGGUACUCGGUUUUACAUCCUCUGUCCAGUCAGGAGUGACGACCAAAACCUCCAUGACUAAGUCGACCAUGGCUGGGAUUUCGACUUCAGUCGAAUCUGUGGUACUCUUAGGCUGUGGGGGCUCUUCAGUGAAAGGAUCUUCCUGAACUGAAGGUGAAUAAAUAUGCUUCAAAAACACAUUGCUAGGAAUGGUCUCUCUCUUAGAUCC